rnacentral:rRNA from 1 species
GACGGGGGAUGCAAGCGUUUUCCGGAAUCACUGGGCGAAAAGCGUCUGUAGGUGGUGAUGCAAGUCACUGGUGCAAAACUCUGGCUCAACCGGAGGAAAGCCAGUGAAACUGCAUGACUAGAGUGCGGGAGAGGUAGAAGGAAUUCCCUGAGUAGCGGUGAAAUGCGUAGAUACAGGGAAGAACACCGGAGGCGAAAGCGUUCUACUGGAACACAACUGACACUGAGAGACGAAAGCUAGGGGAGCGAAUGGG